rnacentral:rRNA from 1 species
GCAAGUCGAACGAAGUAGCAAUACUUAGUGGCAGACGGGUGAGUAACAUGUAGGUAUCUGCCCUUUGGCCUGGAAUAACACGAGGAAACUUGUGCUAAUACCGGAUAAGUCUUUACGGAGAAAGCUUUAUGCACCAUUGGAUGAGCCUGCACUUGAUUAGUUUGUUGGUGGGGUAAUGGCCUACCAAGACUAUGAUCCAUAGCUGUUCUGAGAGGAAGAUC